CACGUAGGGCGCAAGCGUUGUCCGGAAUUAUUGGGCGUAAAGAGUGUGUAGGCGGUGCUCUAAGUCUGUUGUGAAAUCUCCCGGCUUAACUGGGAGGGUGCGGCGGAAACUGGAGUGCUCGAGGGUGGGAGAGGUAAGCGGAAUUCCUGGUGUAGCGGUGAAAUGCGUAGAUAUCAGGAGGAACACCUGUGGUGUAGACAGCUUACUGGACCACUUCUGACGCUGAGACACGAAAGCGUGGGUAGCAAACAGG
rnacentral:rRNA from 1 species